rnacentral:rRNA from 1 species
AGUGAACGCUGGCGGUAGGCCUAACACAUGCAAGUCGAACGGCAGCACAGUAAGAGCUUGCUCUUACGGGUGGCGAGUGGCGGACGGGUGAGGAAUACAUCGGAAUCUACUUUUUCGUGGGGGAUAACGUAGGGAAGCUUACGCUAAUACCGCAUACGACCUACGGGUGAAAGCAGGGGAUCUUCGGACCUUGCGCGAUUGAAUGAGCCGAUGUCGGAUUAGCUAGUUGGCGGGGUAAAGGCCCACCAAGGCGACGAUCCGUAGCUGGUCUGAGAGGAUGAUUCGGCAAACUGGAAAUGGAAAACGGUCCAGGCUCCUAAGGGAGGGCGCAGUGGGGAAUAUUGGACAAUGGGCGCAAGCCUGAUCCAGCCAUACCGCGUGGGUGAAGAAGGCCUUCGGGUUGUAAAGCCCUUUUGUUGGGAAAGAAAAGCAGCAGGUCAAUACCCCGCUGUUCUGACGGUACCCAAAGAAUAAGCACCGGCUAACUUCGUG